rnacentral:rRNA from 1 species
AAUAGAUACCCGGGUAGUCCACCCCGUAAACGUUGGGAACUAGUUGUGGGGUCCUUUCCACGGAUUCCGUGACGCAGCUAACGCAUUAAGUUCCCCGCCUGGGGAGUACGGCCGCAAGGCUAAAACUCAAAGGAAUUGACGGGGACCCGCACAAGCGGCGGAGCAUGCGGAUUAAUUCGAUGCAACGCGAAGAACCUUACCAAGGCUUGACAUACACCGGAAACGGCCAGAGAUGGUCGCCCCGCAAGGUCGGUGUACAGGUGGUGCAUGGUUGUCGUCAGCUCGUGUCGUGAGAUGUUGGGUUAAGUCCCGCAACGAGCGCAACCCUCGUUCUAUGUUGCCAGCACGUAAUGGUGGGAACUCAUGGGAUACUGCCGGGGUCAACUCGGAGGAAGGUGGGGAUGACGUCAAAUCAUCAUGCCCCUUAUGUCUUGGGCUUCACGCAUGCUACAAUGGCCGGUACAAAGGGCUGCAAUACCGUGAGGUGGAGCGAAUCCCGAAAAAGCCGGUCCCAGUUCGGAUUGAGGUCUGCAACUCGACCUCAUG